rnacentral:rRNA from 1 species
UACGGAGGGUGCAAGCGUUGUCCGGAAUCACUGGGCGUAAAGGGCGCGUAGGCGGCUCAUGAAGGUUGUGGUGAAAGUCCGGGGCUCAACCUCGGAUCGGCCGUGGCGACUCGUGGGCUGGAGCACUGUAGAGGCGGGUGGAAUUCCUGGUGUAGCGGUGAAAUGCGCAGAUAUCAGGAGGAACACCGGUGGCGAAGGCGGGUCUCUGGGCCGAUACUGACGCUGAGGAGCGAAAGCGUGGGGAGCGAACAGG